CUCGGAACACCUAGAAUUACAAGUGACUAGGAGAGCUUAACUGAGCUCACAACCUCGUUCUCUUCUGUGAUCUAUAAAUAUAGAACUCUACUCACCAACUAUGUUCUCUUUUAUGUCGGCAUACCCCCAGCCCCUCAGGAUCUACGCUCAGAGGAAAAGAGAACUGGAGGCCAACUCAGCAGCCAGCCACUCAGACACUGUGAAGAUCUGCAACUGUCCAUCCUUGACUGUUUAACCCCCCAUCUCUACUUAAAACCACACAGCCACAUAUUGUCACAGUAAAACGCUUACUGAAAGGAAUUAAAAAUGCUAACAGAAGUCCGUAACAAUAAAGAGAAAAGAAGGAAAAGGGAGAGCAAAUCCCAGCCACCUCAGAGUUCCAGCACUCAAGAAAAGGGCCCUGAGUUGCAUACGAGAAAGCAGCACAACCAUGUUCAAGCAGAUCACAGGUCCAUCUACAUGGGUUUUAGAAAAAUAUUUGAGGAAGAAACCAUAGUGACUCUGGAUGACAUGAAAAGUAAGCGAAGCCUGUGACCCAUGGGUCAAGUCAGUUGCCUGCUUCUGUAAAUAAAAUUUUGUUGAACACAGCCA
rnacentral:lncRNA from 1 species